UAUGAGUGCAAAGAAGAUACUUUGAGAGGAUAUUAUGACGAGUGCCAAAGGUUGCUCAAGGAAUUUCCUCAUGUCUCAUUUCAACAUAUUCCAAGAGCACAGAAUCAAGAAGCUAACCGUUUGGCUAAAAGUGCUUCAGGUUAUCGAGUGAAUCAAGAAAUCUUGAGUAAUGAAACCUCAAAUAGUGACUGGAGAGUUCGAAAAGCCGACUACCUUAGGAAUCCGUCACAGAAAGUUACCAGAAAACUAAGGUACAAAUUGACUAAGUAUGUUUUACAGGAUGAUCAGCUGUACUACAUAACAAUUGAUGGGGCAGUGCUCAAAUGCCUGAAUCAAGAAGAAGCUAAGGUGUUGAUGGGCGAAGUGCAUGAAGGGAUAUGUGGAGCUCAUCAAUCGGCUUGUAAGAUAAAAUGGAUCAUUUGCAGAAUUGGAUAUUUUUGGCCAAUAAUAUUGGAGGACUGUUUUGAAUAUUACAAGGGG
rnacentral:rRNA from 1 species